AUAUAUACAUUGAUACUGUACUGCUGUUUUCCCUUUGUUGCUCUUUUCAAGUAAGUUUAUCAAUACAACACUCAAUUGACAGAGGAACAACUGUGCUGACUUGAGCCAUUUCAAUCUGUAUUUUUUUUUUGGUUGCAAUUUAUCUAGUUCCCCCAAAGCCGUGAUAUUCAAAACCCAGGCCAUGAAGGUUGCUGCUCCAUCUGUGACUAUAUACGUUUUUAUCUAGAGGACCUAAUCCUGUAUCAAACAAAGUUCUAAAGCUUGAUAUUGCGGCUCCGGGUGCCAACAUCUUGGCUGCGUACACAGGAAUCGUGUCAAUUUCCGGCUGGCCAGAUGGUGAUCGGUUUUCCAAAUUCAUAGUGAUGUCUGCUACAUCCAUGCAUGGAUAAAACUAAGCUCACUUUCUCUCUCGCUGAUCAUCUCUUCAAAUGUAUUCUUCAAUUCACCCGAAUGGAUAAGUGGGGUGGCUGCCUAUGUCAAAUCAAUGCACCCAACUUGGUUGCCGGCAGCCAUCAAAUUUGCCAUCAUGACAACUGCUAACUGUGAGUGCAGCUAUUGAGCCGGUAACUGGCGUGUUCAGGACAGUCACUAAUGUGGGGUUAGCAGGGUCCAUAUACAAUGCCCACCAUAAAUGCAGCACCUGGUGUAGAGAUUACUGUCGAGCCCUUGAGUCUGUCAUUUUCUAGCAUCGGUGAGAAGCAGAGCUUCACUGUAUCGGUCAAGGCAAAACCCAAGAAUGAUCAGAGCUUCACUGUAUCGGUCAAGGAAAAACCCAAGAAGCAUAUCUUCACUGUAUCGGUCAACAUUUCCCUAGUUUGUGAUCCCAUGUUGGUUGGAGAUAGUUUGAAUUCUUUUCAAGUUUCGGAUACUUAUUUAAAGAAAUAUGCAAAACCAAUUAUGAUUAUUCUUUUUUAGUGAUUGGUUGAAUAGUGUUUAUUUCAGGUUUGCAGCAGCA